AGAAGAAACAAUUACCGUGAGAGAUUUGGUGCUUCUAGAGAGCAGCGCCUGCCUGGAGUUUGGUCGUCAAAAACCUUUGCAGAAAGGUCCUUUGCAAUCUACAGCACAUGGGCAAGCAGCCUGAAGCACAACGCCCGACGCACAAAGCCUGGCUGUCUUCCUGCCGCCACUGGAGUCCCUUCCUGCGAGUGAGCUGCUCGCCCUCUUCUUUCUCUGCUCUGGAUCUGCCACCACGAACUGAAGGGCCACUGGAGCUGGGGGGUCUACAGCCCUGAUUUACCAUUCCAGAGAUGAGUGAACCUACUCAGGACCCCACUGGAGUUAAGGGAUCUCGUGCACUGCACUUUGCAGGAAGAGGGCCGCAACUUGCUCUCUUCCUGCCGUCACACAUUCUCAUGAUUUCUUCAUGCAAGGAUUUGGGGGAAUACACACGGCUCCUCCUUUCCACCAUCUGCCUGAGAACUUCACCUCAGCGGAGGGGAGUUGUACCUUUUCUGCCGGAACCUGAAGUUCUCAA